rnacentral:lncRNA from 1 species
AGAGCUCAAAUAAUAACAUAAAAGGGUAAUAAUAGUCGAUUACAUCAUAUGUCUGAGACAUCCACAUAGUCCUUAACAAUAAUCAAAGUGCGAAAAGAUACACACGGCCUUCACAGGCAGCCGACUGGGGGUUGCCGCUAACCCACGCCUAAAACUCGUCAUAAUCUUGGAACUCCUGGAAGUCUUCCUCCACGGCUUCAUCUUCUCCUGAGCAGUAGUUGCAACAUGGACAACCUGGGGAAGGGGAGGGUUUGGUGUGUAGAGCAAGGGUGAGUACACAUCAACAUACUCAGCAAAUGUCAUGUUUGGCUAUAGUGGACUAGCUUUAUGUGGGGUUAAGUCAAGCAGUUGCUUUUAGUUGGUCAGAUUAUUAUUAUUAAUAGAGAGAGCUAGAUUUUAGUAUUAACCUAAGUUGUUAACCCAAAAGUACCCUUUCCAAGCGGAAAGAAUACCACUUACCAUUACCAUAGUCAAUAUCAAAACCAUCAUCCUCAUCACCACGUGUAAUCCGAACAUCUCUGAUCAAGUAUCUCUAAUCAAUGGAUCUCCCUUGGCCGCUCAUAACCGCGAGCAAGGAUGAUAUAUCAGUUUUCAUAACACUCUGCAGAGGUUGCGCACUUUACCCACAAGUCGUGAUUCCCUUUCUGCCCGGAGAUCAUGACUCUCCAUUGAUCACUACCAAGGUGACCCAGCAGGGUAUCACUACGUAGCCUUUACAAAGAUUCCUCGGGGCUGUAGCCGCCCGUUAGGUUUCCUAAAUGCACCGCACUCCUCCCCAAGGGGCGAACCAAUCUUGGCAGAGCGAGCCACAUACACUGAGCCCCAUUAACGGCACAACGGCGAAGCGAACUACACCACGGUUCCUCUAAUUAUUCAGCUAAGGGCGUCUCAUUCCACCCUCAUGGUUGCACUGUUUCCCCGUGCGGUCAUCCAAUGAACAGGUCCUUACGGAGAGGCACUCGAGAAACCGCUCGAGUCCCCUUAAAUGCCACAAGUAUAUCAUCAUAAUAAAGAAGGGAAACAACGUAUCAUUGAUAAAUCUCAUCAUGUUCAUUGAUUAACGUGAAGCACUAGCAUGAAGCUAAACUAGAAUAAUCCAACACAAAUAGGUAAGCAAGGACAUGAAUAACAAAAGCUAGUCAAACCUUAGGUAUAAACUGUGUAAAUGCGGAAAAUGAAUUAAGGAAUGUAUAGGACAUAAGUGGGUCAAGGGACACUUGCCUACACCAACCCGCUGCUGCUCAGGGUCUUCUCCUGUGAGUUAUUCAGACUCCUCAACCAAACCAUUAUCUAUGCGAGUGCAAACAUACAUCCAUCUUUUUGAAUUAGGAAAUAAACAGUACACCAUACAAAAGAGCAGAUCAAUUGAACAUGCAUAUGAUAUGACAUACGAUUUGCAUUCGCAAUUGCUAGAAAGAGAAAAAGAAGGGACUCGCAGUGGCUAAAGCUAUAGUCGAAACAUAUUACGUGUAGGGGUGCAAUUAAUUAUUACAUCGUCUAACUCUACCUAGCCAUACUAACAGGUAUUAAUCACAUACACUAACAGAGUUACAAUUAAUCCAAUUGGCCGACACUACAUAAGUCGUCAUUUAACUACGUGAGAUAAUUAACGUGGUCAAUUCUAAGUGGAGUUCAACUACAUAAAAUAAACGACACGCUCAACGCGCAUAAAAUAAACGGGGUGGGGGGGGGGGUGGGGGUAGAUGGAGUAGUUCGGGGGGUAGACGGGCUCGUCACAUGCGUGGCAGAGCGCUACGCGUCGCGCCGGGAGCACGGCGAACCGCACCAAGACGUCGUGCGCGAGAUGGCACCGCGCCGGGGGUCGGGCGAGCUGCACAAGCAGUGGGGCCACGCCGGGGGCCAAGCGCGCUGCUCAAGCAGUGGGCCACGCCGGGCAGCACCGCGCCGCGCCGAGCAUGCCGCGCGCAGGGGAGCGCGCCGGGACCACGGGGUCGCCGUGCCGGGCGUCGGGGCGAGACACGGCCGCACGCGCCGCGGGGGGAGGAGGGCUGCGCCGAGGGGCGGGGCGAGGCACGCCGGGGCGGGCGCGCGCACGCGCCAGGGCAAGCAUGUCGGGCCACCGUGAGCUGGGGCGGGCGCGCUAUGGCCGGGAGGAGGGGCGAGACCGCGCGCGCCGGGCAAGCUGCCGCGCGGGGAAGGGGCCUCGCGCGCCGGAGCGAGCUGCCGCGCGGGAGGGGGCCGAGCGCGCUAGGGUGAGCCGUGUGCGCCGGGGCGUCCGCGCCGAGCCGGCGGGCGCCAUGGCCGCUGGGGCCAAGGAAGAAGAAGGGGAGGGGUGGGGAAGAGGAGGGAGAGGGGCUCACCACGCGCGGGGUGGGGGGGCGAGGGCGGCACAGGCGGUCGGCGGUUUCCAAGCGACGCGGGCGAGGUGGAGGAGAGGGACGAGAUGCGCGGGGGAGAGAGAGAGGACAUGUGCGGGGGUAGAGGAGAGAGGGAGG